GACGAACGCUGGCGGCGUGCUUAACACAUGCAAGUCGAACGGAAAGGCCCUGCUUUUGUGGGGUGCUCGAGUGGCGAACGGGUGAGUAACACGUGAGUAACCUGCCCUUGACUUUGGGAUAACUUCAGGAAACUGGGGCUAAUACCGGAUAGGAGCUCCUGCUGCAUGGUGGGGGUUGGAAAGUUUCGGCGGUUGGGGAUGGACUCGCGGCUUACCAGCUUGUUGGUGGGGUAGUGGCUUACCAAGGCUUUGACGGGUAGCCGGCCUGAGAGGGUGACCGGCCACAUGGGGACUGAGAUACGGCCCAGACUCCUACGGGAGGCAGCAGUGGGGAAUAUUGCACAAUGGGCGGAAGCCUGAUGCAGCAACGCCGCGUGCGGGAUGACGGCCUUCGGGUUGUAAACCGCUUUCGCCUGUGACGAAGCGUGAGUGACGGUAAUGGGUAAAGAAGCACCGGCUAACUACGU
rnacentral:rRNA from 1 species